rnacentral:rRNA from 1 species
AACGAACGCUGGCGGCAUGCCUAACACAUGCAAGUCGAACGCCCCGCAAGGGGAGUGGCGGACGGGUGAGUAACACGUGGGAACCUGCCCAAUGGUUCGGGAUAACCGCGGGAAACUGCGGCUAAUACCGGAUAAGCCUUCUGGGAAACCAGGAGGGAAAGAUUUAUCGCCGAUGGAGGGGCCCGCGUCCGAUUAGGUAGUUGGUGGGGUAACGGCCUACCAAGCCUACGAUCGGUAGCUGGUCUGAGAGGAUGAUCAGCCACACUGGGA